CAAAACAUCGUCAUAAAAAAGCAUUGUUAUUAGGACUAAAUAAUUUAUCUUGAGGUUGGCGUUAAGACUAUUGCUAUUCAAUAUAGCAUAAUAAUAUUCGGCCACUUAAUAGAUCAAAGACCAUAGUUUACCACAGAUAUAUUCAAAUAUUCCUCAGAUCAACCAGAGAUACUCGGAAGUCGAAAUAUAUCAAACAUAUAAGCAAUGAAGGUAUACUUGACUACUCAAAUCAUUACUUCAUCUGUAGAAGAUGGGGUCGAGUUCUGUAAUAAGGAUCUUCAAUGACCAGAGUUUAGAAACUCUGAAGGAACAGUCGAGUAUCUUAGAAGAUUUGAUAGACUUUUUGAUUUCAGCAGAAAUCCAUUGGCAAAAGGAUUCAAAUCUCCUCUGAGAAUUGAAAAUGAAGGCUAUUGGAAACCAAUCGUUCAAGAUAUGUUUUUAUAUAUUUCUGAAUUGAAGGAUUAAUUUGGUAACCUUUGGUCAAAACGCGUAAAAGAACUGAUUUUAUUGGAUUCAUGGCAUCAAUUACUCAAUUUGCCACAUAUUUUACUCUUUAGUUAAAUCUAAAAGGAUGAAGGAUCUUCUAACUUACAAAUUAUCUCAGAAUCAUAUAGCGUUAUUCUUUUGUGCCAUAAGGCCUCAUUUAGGAAGCAAUAAUAAUCCAACAUGUCCCAUGUUUUCCUCCAUUUAUAAGUGGCCAUUAGUUAGGUGUCAUGUGUUUGACAGUGGUGGUAAUUGCACAAGGUUGGAUAAAAAAACAGUUGCAUAUUUCACUACCUCAAAGAACAAGAGGAAACCAUCAGAAGUUUUCCUAUUCCUUGAUGAUGACAAAGAUGUCCUCCUUCCGUCAAUAGCCUUUCUCAAUUUAAAAAAUGUGUUGUUGUUUAUUUUGUUGGAUAUGUUAUCAAAUCAGUCUCCAAGCAUUUAGUAUUUCCUGAGUGCUUGGAAUCUCUUUACAGCUAUGUAACGGACAGCCAUAAUUAUUUUUUAUAGCAAAAAAAAUAUAAUGGUGGUAUUUUGUUCUAUCAAAAGACGUAAUAGAAAUACG
rnacentral:lncRNA from 1 species